GAUGAACGCUGGCGGCGUGCCUAAUACAUGCAAGUCGAGCGAACAGACGAGGAGCUUGCUCCUCUGACGUUAGCGGCGGACGGGUGAGUAACACGUGGAUAACCUACCUAUCAGACUGGGAUAACUUCGGGAAACCGGAGCUAAUACCGGAUAAUAUAUUGAACCGCAUGGUUCAAUAGUGAAAGACGGUUUUGCUGUCACUUAUAGAUGGAUCCGCGCCGCAUUAGCUAGUUGGUAAGGUAACGGCUUACCAAGGCAACGAUGCGUAGCCGACCUGAGAGGGUGGUCGGCCACACUGGAGCUGGGACACGGUCCAGACUCCUGCGGGAGGCAGCAGUAGGGAAUCGUCCGCAGUAGGCGGAAGCCUGACGGAACAACGCCACGUGAGUGAUGAAGGUCUUCGGAUCGUAAAGCUCUGUUAUUGGGGAAGAACAGAUGUGUAAGUAACUAUGCACGUCUUGACGGUACCUAAUCAGAAAGCCACGGCUAACUACGUG
rnacentral:rRNA from 1 species